rnacentral:rRNA from 1 species
UACAGAGGUCUCAAGCGUUGUUCGGAUUCAUUGGGCGUAAAGGGUGCGUAGGCGGUCGCGCAAGUCGGAUGUGAAAUCUUAGGGCUCAACCCUGAAACUGCAUUCGAUACUGCGUGGCUUGAGUACUGGAGGGGAGACUGGAAUUUACGGUGUAGCAGUGAAAUGCGUAGAUAUCGUAAGGAAGACCAGUGGCGAAGGCGAGUCUCUGGACAGUUACUGACGCUGAGGCACGAAGGCCAGGGGAGCAAACGGG